rnacentral:sRNA from 1 species
AUUGGCAAGGAUGCCGCUGGUUUAAACAGAAGCGAUGUUUCGGCAUCGCCCGAAACUCGCUGCCAAAAGCGUACAAGGAUGUACGCUUUUGGCAAUGC